CGGUGGAGCAUGUGUUUAAUUCGAUGCAACGCGAAGAACCUUACCAGGUCUUGACACUCCCCUGACAACCCAGAGAUUGGGCGUUCCCCUUCGGGGGACAGGGUGACAGGUGGUGCAUGGUUGUCGUCAGCUCGUGUCGUGAGAUGUUGGGUUAAGUCCCGCAACGAGCGCAACCCUCGCCUCUAGUUGCCAGCAUUCGGUUGGGCACUCUAGAGGGACUGCCGGCGACAAGUCGGAGGAAGGUGGGGAUGACGUCAAAUCAUCAUGCCCUUUAUGACCUGGGCUACAAACGUACUACAAUGGCCAAUACAAAGAGAUGCGAAGCGGUGACGUGGAGCGAACCUCAGAAAGUUGGUCUCAGUUCAGAUUGAAGUCUGCAACUCGACUUCAUGAAGGCGGAAUCGCUAGUAAUCGCGGGUCAGCAGACCGCGGUGAAUACGUUCCCGGGUUUU
rnacentral:rRNA from 1 species